AAAGAAGAGGAGGUCAGAUAACGAUGACAAUUCCCCCAAUUCACAGGACAUGAGGGGUCACUGAAUGGUUUGAUGAGUAUGAAGAUGAUGUGAAUCUUUGGUUGUGGCCUUCACAGUCACCAGAUCUCAGCCAAUGAAGAUCUGGCAGAAUCAGCCAAUGGAAGGCCAUAAACUGCUUCUACAGUUUAACCUCAGUGUGCAUGAAUCAAUGUGCUGUCCAGAAAGUCCAGAAGAAAAGAACAAACAGAUGUUGAGCCACAACUGAUGGGCCACCAAAACUGUCCAAAACCAAAAUGGUCCUUGGUCUUAUGUCAAAUUUCUUGUAUUGUAGUUUUACAUGCAGGAGACGUCCAGCGAUGCUACAAUGUGUUGCUCAGGUACUAAAUUGCAGAAGUUUAAAACGGACUGCUGACCACUUAAACAUCCAUUUAUCAACCCAGCAACUAUCUCCAACACAUAUUAUCAUCCAAAACAUUUAUUAAUGGACCGCGUGAGGUGGAGGAGACGAUCAAGAACGUGAGAAAGGACAGACUAUUACUCCCUGUUUGAGUUUUACAAUUUCCAGUGUUGCCGUUGUUGGGGUUGUGCGAUAUGUUGAUAACAUGUCAUUAUGUUAGAGAAGAUACUGUGUAUGAUUUCAGUUAUUAAUUUCACUGUGAUAAUAUAUGUGCAGUUGUGGUGUGAGAUAAGUGGUUUUCAAGGCUGCAUCACAGUAAAGGGAUGCGAUUUUCUGACCUUAUCAAACUUGUCUUACCUUUUCUGGUAUUUUCCUCUACCUGAUUGGUUGAUACAUCUGCAUUACUAAGGACUGUUCAUCAACCAUCUCUUGUGUUUUAUUUCUGUUAUCUUCUUUUCUUAUGGAACCACCAAUAGUCAUCCCACCAGUAUUGUCUAAAUAUCUACACUGAGAUAUUAAACCAAUGAUAUUGUGAUAUCUUCUUUGUGUACAUUUUUAUUUUUGUCCGUAUUGCUCUGUCAUGCUGGUUACUACAGUUAUUAGAAGUCUUUGCUGCUGGAGUUUCUUGGUUGUGUUUACAUUCUUUAAACUGGUCAAUCAUUUUGUUUUUGGUUUGCAGCAUUUUUUGGUACUGGUGGUUUUUAAGCUUUGUAUGGCUUUGGUUAUCAACAUGAAAAUAAAGUGCUGCAGGAGGUGUUGUGCAAUGAUUUUUUUUACCCCCCUUCCCCAUUUAAAUACAAUAUGUGAGCUAGAUCCACUAAGUAAAGGCCAAAAUUAUAGAGGAAUAUUUCGGCUUUGGGUGACUGCACAGAUUUAUUGUCAUAAUGUAGACAGAUGAUAACCCUGUAGAAUGUAAUAUUAAGAAACGAUCAUUGUGAUUUGAUCAAAGAAACAGGCUGUAAUACAUCGGCUUUGAAGAAGGUGUUGGUGUGUCUCAAGUAGCAGAUAUGUGAUUUCACUUUAGUUUACGGUACAGUUCUUUGAAAUGUGUCGCAAAUUACCUUCUAAGAAAGUCUAAUAAGGGUCUAACAGUGGGAAAUAAAGAUGGAAUGUCCUGGCAGCUUCCAUAGCCUAAUGUUAAUGGGAUUGGAUAAUGGCAUUAUCCAAUCAAUAAUAUUAUUAUUACAUUAUCACAAUGACAUUAUAUGGUCUGAUGUCUUAACUGGAAUGGGAGUAGAGUGCUGAGGAAGCAUGUAAUGUAUUUUGUUACGUAUUAGUUUAAAUUUAGACCAUGUUAGUAGUAUUAAAUUACAGCAUAAUUUGGUAGUAAGAGUAGAAUAGCAUCUAAAUGUAGCAUAUUUUGGAUCGGAUAUGGAUUGUAUUUGAUUUCUAAUUAGACUAUGAUCUUGUAAAAUGGUGUGUAAUGUGUAUUAGGAUCUCCUAUUUGGUUUCUAAUUAGAGUGUAAUCUGUAUAAUAGUGUCUAAGUAUAGUAUAUUUUAGGUUUAAUACAGCAUUAUAUGUGGUUUCUGACUACAGCACA